AGGAGGAGGGAGGAUACUUCUGGUUGGAGAAGCAAAAGAUCCUGAACCUUCCUGAAAAACAACCUCACACAUCUCACGCGCCUCUCUGCCUCGAGGACGACAUCGUCACAAAUUGAUGGAAUAUUCCAAACGCGUUUAUCCAUUUGGAUCUUAGGGGUCAACUUUCAUGUUAAAGAAACUUGUUCGAUUUUGUUUUUUUGGGAGGGGGGGGGGGGCUCAGAUGGAUUUCGUGACUAAGGUGAGGACCUUGGGUUAUUGCUUUUAAGCGGCUCCAAUCAUUUGACAAAAUUCACAUAGAAAUAGCAGCUCUCUAAAUUUGCACAAUUUGUAGAUUCGAUGUAGAAUAUAAAACUCCCAAUAUUCCAUAAUUUCAAACUGUCGUUUAAGGUCGCGAAGUCGGUAUCGUUGAUUGAACUGUUGAACUAUUGAAGCUUAUGUAUAGACAUUAGACUAUAAAUCAUUUAUAUUAAUACACAAAUAUUUUGUGAACAAAAGCCUGCCAAUCCCAGAUUUAUGGAGAUAUUUUGAGAUUGCGAACAAAAGAGUAUUUAGGGGAGGUAUUUAUAGAAGGUGGUUUUAUUCAAGGCCACUCUGUCUGCCGAGCGCAUUGACUUGUUGAAGCCGAGAACCAACUGUCGACGGGACGAAUAGUUGGAUAAAUGAGUCGUAUCACAAGGACUGAUAUGAGAACGAACCCUGAACCGUCACCGUGUAGUCGUUUUUUAUUUUGCUUCAGGGGUAUAUAAUAACGGAUAAACACAAACCAACGGAAUAACCAACCGUCUAUUCAUCUAAAUCUAUGAUCAGCUCGGUGUGUGUUUCGUCUUACCGAGGACGAAAGUCAGGUAACAAACCUCCGUCCAAGACAUGUCUGAAGGAAGAGAUGACCAGGGGGGAAGACUCGGAAAAAAUUGUUAUCAAUGUUGGUGGCACAAGACACGAAACCUACAAGAGUACACUUAGGACCCUACCGGGGACACGCCUGGCCUGGUUAGCCGACCCGCCAGAGCCAAACGCAAACAAGGAACCCCUCCCCGUAGGACCCAUAUCGCCAACUACAAACGAGUUAUUUUUCGACAGGCACCCUGGCAUAUUCGCUUAUGUAUUGAACUAUUAUAGGACUGGCAAGCUUCAUUGCCCCGCCGAUGUCUGCGGGCCUCUUUUUGAAGAGGAGUUGGCGUUUUGGGGGAUAGAUGAGACCGACGUGGAGCCGUGUUGCUGGAUGACAUACCGGCAGCAUCGGGACGCAGAGGAGGCGCUGGACAUAUUCGAACCACCGGACCCAGAUGACACGGACGAUGAACUACCUAGACGGUUCGGCAUUGAGGACUGCCCGGAAAGAUCGAGGGGAUGCUGCGAAGUUUGGCAACCAAAGAUAUGGGCACUCUUUGAGGACCCCUACUCAUCCAGGGCUGCUAGAGGCAUAGCGUUUGCCUCCCUCUUCUUCAUUCUGGUUUCCAUCACUACGUUCUGUCUGGAGACCCACGAGUACUUCAAUGACCUGCAGAACCGCACGGAACACGUGGUGGUGGGGAACCACACGGAGGUGGUGGUCUCGGUGGAGGUGGUGACCAAGCCCAUUCUGACCGUGGUGGAAGGCGUUUGUGUGGUCUGGUUCACCUUGGAGUUCUUCGUCCGCAUCGUGUGCUGCCCCGACAAGCUGCUCUUCAUCAAGAACAUGUUAAACGUCAUUGACUUCGUGGCCAUCCUGCCCUUCUACCUGGAGAUGGGCCUCAGCGGCCUGUCCUCCUCUAAAGCAGCCUCCGACAUCCUGGGGUUUCUACGGGUCGUCCGCUUCGUCCGGAUCCUCCGCAUCUUCAAGCUGACCAGGCAUUUCGUUGGUCUGAGGGUUCUCGGCCACACGUUGAGAGCCAGCGUCAACGAGUUCUGCCUGCUCAUCGUCUUCCUGGCGUUGGGCGUCCUCAUCUUCGCCACGAUGAUCUACUACGCGGAGCGGAUAGGGGCCCAACCGGACGACCCGCGCGGCUCUAAACACACCCACUUCAAAAACAUCCCCAUCUCCUUCUGGUGGGCCGUGGUCACCAUGACCACCCUGGGCUACGGGGACAUGUACCCCCAGACGUGGCUGGGCAUGAUGGUGGGUGCGCUGUGCGCCCUGGCGGGGGUGCUGACCAUCGCCAUGCCCGUGCCUGUUAUAGUCAAUAACUUUGGGAUGUACUACUCCCUGGCCAUGGCUAAACAGAAGCUGCCUAAGAAGAAGAAGGCGCACAAUCCGAACCCGGACGCUCCCACGGACACGGCCUCGUUCGGGAAGUCUGUCGCUACCUCUCCCAGGGACAGUACUCAGAGUGAUACGUGUCCGCUGGCUGCAGAGGAUAAUAUCAACAGGAACCGCUCAGACUCCAAGCAGAACGGAGACGCCAACUUGACUCUGUCGUCGGAUGAGGGGUGCAGCCUGACCCAGCCGCUGUCACCCAGCGAGAAGUGGAACCUACGGCACAGCCACGGCCGCAAACACGCCCGGUCGGUCAGGGGGAACAAGGCCACCAAGAAAGAGGCGACCUGCUUCCUGCUUACCUCUGGGGACUUCUCGUGCACUGGAGGAGAGCACACCAUACGCACUGCCUUGUGAAUCUCCUUACCCCCUUCUGGCCCCUGCCUGUCUGCCAGCCCAGAGAGAUAAAGAGAGAGUAGAGACAGAGAGAGCAGAGAGAGAGAGAGAGAGAUAGAAAGAGAGACAGAGAGAACAAAGAGAGAGAGAGACCACAAAUUCCAAUUGGCUAUACUUUAACUCUUUAACAUCAUCCUCAGCUCUGGCAUUUUUCCCAAUACGUGGAACCAAUCCACAAAAGUGGAGACAAAUUUGACCCCAAUAACUACUGUGGGAUAUGCGUCAACAGCAACCUUGGGAUAAUCCUCUGCAUUAUCAUUAACAGCAGACUCGUACAUUUCCUCAGUGAAAACAAUGUACUGAGCAAAUGUCAAAAUUGGCUGCUUACCAAAUGACCAUGUAUUCAGCCUGCACACCCUAAUUAACAAACAAAGAUACCAAAACAAACACAAAGUCUUCUCAUGCUUUGUUGAUUUAAAAUAAUAUUUUGACUCAAUUUGGCAUGAGGUUCUGCUUUGCAAAUUGGUGAAAAGCGGUGUUGGAGGAAAUACAUACAACAUUAUAAAAUGUACACACACAAAAAAAAAAAUCGGCAAAAAAACACAUUUCUUUCCUCAGGGCCGUGGGGAGAGACAGGGAUGAAGCUUGAGCCCCACCCUCUUCAACAUGUAAAUUAUAUCAAGCAAUUGGCGAGGGCACUAGAACAGUCUGCAGCACCCGGCCUCACCCUACUCAAAUCUGAAGUCAAAUGUCUACUGUUUGCUGAUCAUCUGGUGCUUCUGUCCCCAACCAAGGAUGGCCUACAGCAGCACCUAGAUCUUCUGCACAGAUUCUGUCAGACCUGGGCCCUGACAGACCUGGGCCUUGACAGACCUGGGCCCUGACAGUAAAUCUCAGUAAGACAAUAAUGAUGGUGUUUCAAAAAAGGUCCUGUUGCCAUGACCACGAAUACAAAUUCCAUCUAGACACCGUUGCCCUAGGUCACACAAAAAAACUAUACAUACCUCGGGCUGAACAUCAGCACCACAGGUAACUUCCACAAAGCAGUGAACGAUCUGAGAGACAAGGCAAGAAGGGCCUUCUAUGCCAUCAAAAGGAACAUCAAAUUUGACAUACAAUUAGGAUCUGGCUAAAAAUACUUGAAUCAGUUAUAGAACCCAUUGCCCUUUACGGUUGUGAGGUCUGGGAUCCGCUCACAACCCAAUAAUUCACAAAAUGUUCCAAACACCAAAUUGCACGCAAAAAUAUCUUCCAUUGUACAAAAUAAAACACCAAAUAAUGCAGAGGGGAGUUAGGCCGAUACCCGCUAACGACCAAAAUCCAGAAAAGGGCCGUUAAAUUCUACAACCACCUAAAAGGAAGCGAUUCCUAAACCUUCCAUAACAAAGCUAUCACCUACAGAGAGAUGAACCUGGAGAAGAAACCUACAGAGCCUCAGGACAGCAACACUAUUAGACCCAACCACAUCAUGAGAAAACAAAAAGAUAAUUACUUGACACAUUGGAAAGAAUUAACCAAAAAAAACACAGCAAACUAAAAUGAUAUUUGGUCCUAAACAGAGAGUACACAGCGGCAGAAUACCUGACCACUGUGACUGACCUAAAAUUAAGGAACGCUUUGACUAUGUACAGACUCAGUGAGCAUAGCUUUGCUAUUGAAAGAGGCUGCCAUAGGAAGACCUGGCUCUCAAAAGAAGACAGGCUAUGUGCACACAGCAAAUUCUAUUUUGAUAAACUCGCAUAUCUAUUGGGUGAAAUACCACAGUGUUCCACAGCAGCAAUAUUUGUGACCUGUUGCCACAAGAAAAGGACCACCAGUGAAGAACAACACCAUUGUAAAUACAAUCCACAUUUAUGUUUAUUUAUUUUCCCUUUUGUACUUUAAUUAUUUACACCUCGUUACAAUAGACAUUUGAAAUGUCUCUAUUCCUUUGGAACUUUAUUGUAUUUUUUAUUUCACUUUUGUUUAUCUAUUUCACUUGCUUUGGCAAUGUAAACAUAUGUUUCCCAAAGCAUGAAUUAAAUUGGAUUGAGAGACAGAGAGAACAGAGACAGCGCGAGCAGAGAGAGAGAGAGUAGAGAUGGAGAGAGUAGAGCCAGAGAGAGCAGAGACAGAGAUGGGGAGAAGAGAGAGAGAGAGAGAGAGAGAGAGUAGAGAUGGAGAGAGUAGAGACAGAGAUAGCAUAGAAAGAGAAAGAUGGAGAGCCAGAGAGAGCAGAGACAGAGAUGGGGAGAAGAGAGAGAGAGAGAGACUAUGAUAGAGAGAGAGAGACCACAGCAUCACCAGCCACACCCCAACCAGCUAAGACCAUUUCAAGCAAACCCUGGCAACACCCUAUAUAGCCCCCCCCCCCCAUAUCAGACCUAUGCCCCUUCUUCCCACACCAUGCCCCCGGCGGCAAGGACCUCAACAUGACAGCAGGACAUAUGCCCAGGCCGUGAGCAGAGCAACAGGCCCAACCCCCACUAUUACACCCGCCCAAGCCCCAUCCUGCGACCUAAGAGAGAGCUGUAAAGACAUCCUGGCAGCUACUGGGAACUAUGCCCAACCAGAAAUGACCACUCUGACCUGAAGAAGUUGAUUGGUCGAUA